rnacentral:rRNA from 1 species
AGAGUUUGAUCCUGGCUCAGAUUGAACGCUGGCGGCAUGCUUUACACAUGCAAGUCGAACGGCAGCACGGGGGCAACCCUGGUGGCGAGUGGCGAACGGGUGAGGAAUACAUCGGAACGUGUCUUUAAGUGGGGGAUAACGCAUCGAAAGGUGUGCUAAUACCGCAUAAUCUCUGAGGAGAAAAGCAGGGGAUCGCAAGACCUUGCGCUUUUGGAGCGGCCGAUGCCUGAUUAGCUUGUUGGUAAGGUAAAAGCUUACCAAGGCUUCGAUCAGUAGCUGGUCUGAGAGGACGGCCAGCCACACUGGGACUGAGACACGGCCCAGACUCCUACGGGAGGCAGCAGUGGGGAAUUUUGGACAAUGGGGGCAACCCUGAUCCAGCCAUGCCGCGUGAGUGAAGAAGGCCUUCGGGUUGUAAAGCUCUUUCAGCCGGAACGAAACGGUUACGGUUAAUACCCGUGACUACUGACGGUACCGGAAGAAGAAGCACCGCUAACUA